GACGAACGCUGGCGGCGUGCUUAACACAUGCGAGUCGAGCGGUAAGGCCCCUUCGGGGGUCCACGAGCGGCGAACGGGUGCGUAACACGUGAGCAAUCUGCCCAUCACAUCGGGAUAACUCCGGGAAACCGAAGCUAAUACCGAAUACGACCACCUCCGGCAUCGGAUGGUGGUGGAAAGUUCCGGCGGUGAUGGAUGAGCUCGCGGCCUAUCAGCUUGUUGGUGGGGUAACGGCCCACCAAGGCUUCGACGGGUAGCCGGCCUGAGAGGGUGACCGGCCACACUGGGACUGAGACACGGCCCAGACUCCUACGGGAGGCAGCAGUGGGGAAUAUUGGACAAUGGGCGAAAGCCUGAUCCAGCAACGCCGCGUGAGGGAUGACGGCCUUCGGGUUGUAAACCUCUUUCAGCAGGGACGAAGCGCAAGUGACGGUACCUGCAGAAGAAGCACCGGCCAACUACGUG
rnacentral:rRNA from 1 species